AUUGAACGCUGGCGGCAGGCCUAACACAUGCAAGUCGAACGGUAACAGGGAUCAGCUUGCUGAUUCGCUGACGAGUGGCGGACGGGUGAGUAAUGUCUGGGAAACUGCCUGAUGGAGGGGGAUAACUACUGGAAACGGUAGCUAAUACCGCAUAACGUCGCAAGACCAGAGAGGGGGACCUUCGGGCCUCUUGCCAUCGGAUGUGCCCAGAUGGGAUUAGCUAGUAGGUGGGGUAACGGCUCACCUAGGCGACGAUCCCUAGCUGGUCUGAGAGGAUGACCAGCCACACUGGAACUGAGACACGGUCCAGACUCCUACGGGAGGCAGCAGUGGGGAAUAUUGCACAAUGGGCGCAAGCCUGAUGCAGCCAUGCCGCGUGUAUGAAGAAGGCCUUCGGGUUGUAAAGUACUUUCAGCGGGGAGGAAGGGAGUAAAGUUAAUACCUUUGCUCAUUGACGUUACCCGCAGAAGAAGCACCGGCUAACUCCGU
rnacentral:rRNA from 1 species